UUAAAGGUGGUUGAAGAAAAUUGCCGCAAAAUAACAAACGAGACUUGUGUCAAACUGUGUAUAAUGAAAAAAUUAGGAGUUAUAGAUGAGCGCGGAUGGUACGUGGAGAGUAAAGGGACAGAAUUCAUAAAGAGUAUAUUUCCUACAGAUGUAAUCAUAGACAACCAAGAAUCGAUAUUUCAGCAAAUAGCUCAAACAUGCAACCGUGUAAACAAACAUGUCAGCAAUAACUGUCAUCGAGGUGAAGAAGUGGCAAAGUGCUUAAAUGAAGAAAUGGAGAAGGUA